rnacentral:tRNA from 1 species
CGGGGUGUGGCGCAGCCUGGCAGCGCGUCUGUUUUGGGUACAGAAGGUCGUGGGUUCGAAUCCCGCCACCCCGA